GACGAACGCUGGCGGCGUGCUUAACACAUGCAAGUCGAACGGAAAGGCCCUGCUUUUGUGGGGUGCUCGAGUGGCGAACGGGUGAGUAACACGUGAGUAACCUGCCCUUGACUUUGUGAUAACUUCAGGAAACUGGGGCUAAUACCGGAUAGGAGCUCCUGCUGCAUGGUGGGGGUUGGAAAGUUUCGGCGGUUGGGGAUGGACUCGCGGCUUAUCAGCUUGUUGGUGGGGUAGUGGCCUACCAAGGCUUUGACGGGUAGCCGGCCUGAGAGGGUGACCGGCCACCUUGGGACUGAGAGACGGCCCAGACGCCUACGUGAGGCAGCAGUGGGGAAUAUUGCACAAUGGGCGGAAGCCUGAUGCAGCAACGCCGCGUGCGGGAUGACGGCCUUCGGGUUGGAAACCGCUUUCGCCUGUGACGAAGCGUGAGUGACGGUAAUGGGUAAAGAAGCACCGGCUAACUACGUG
rnacentral:rRNA from 1 species